UUUGUCAGGUGCUGGUACCACCUCUGAAAUGCUGAUGGAUUUGCUCCUCCAAAGUUCCUGUUUGUUGACAGCUCUCAGAGCAAAUCCCUUCUGUUUGUUAUGAGUUGCCCAGGGGGAAAUAUCUGUGUGGACACGUUUGUGACUGCAGCUCUGGAGCGGGGGCUGCCCAUCUGGUAUCACCUUGCAGCAUGUAAAUAGCUUGGGCUGGCUGUAAAUAGCUUGGAGUGGCAAAAUCCUGAGAGCUGCAGGGCUGCAGAAAGCAACCUCUCUUUAUAUAUCAGCUUGGAACUGCUGGAAACAAUCUGUCUGCACAGGUGGUCCACUUCAACAUUCAGCAAAUACUUGAGAUCACAAUUGCAUCCUUUCUCUUUUGCUUACUCACUUUCCUUCUUUGCCACGGAGAAGAAAAUAUUUCCUGCUUUGCCACAGAGAAGAAAAGAUUUCAAGACUGGUGGUUUUGUAAUCCCUGGCAUCUGAGGAAGGAUUCCUGGUUGCUGAACCUGAUGUAACUGCGCAGAUGGACCAGGAAGAAGAGCAAGAAGAGCCUUGGAGGAGACACACAUGGGUGGUGAGCUGGGGCCCCUUCCAGAUCACCUUGAAUGCACAUAUCUGCAGGACGUGCUGGCAGCAGGCUCCAGAGGAGGAGAGGAGCAGUUUGGGGACAGCAUGGGAGUCAGCGUGGUUGCUCAGAGGCCCAGCAAGGUGGCUGUGAGGAGGGAAAGGAGGUUUAGCUGCCCUGCUCUGACAUCAGCCCGGUGAAAAGGUGGGUGAGAAGGGCGGCAGCUUCACGGUAAGUCCCUCACAUGGAGCAUCCGACCAUCUGCUCCGAGUGCAUCUAGGGCUUCAGCCAGUGCAUCUACUGGUCCAGCACCAGCGCACGCACACCGGGGAACGCUCCUUCCUGUGCAGGGCCUGCGGCAAGGCCUCCAGCCAGAGCUCCCACCUCAUCCACCACCAGCACGCCCACACAGGCCAGAAGCCCUGCACCUCCACAAGUGCAGCAAAGCCUUCAGCCAGAGCUCCAGCCUCCUCAAGCAGCAGCGCGUCCACACAGGGCUCAAGCUGUACACAUGCAGCGAAUGCAGGAAGUUCUUCAGUUCUUCCGCAGCAGCUCCACCUGCAUCAAGCACCAGUGCAUGCACACGGGCCAGCGGCCCUACAAGCAUGCAGCCUGCAGGAAGGGCUUCGGCCAGCACCGCCACCUCCUGCAGCCCUGCGGCCAUGGGCAGUGCGGGAAGCGCUUCAGGCAGAGCUCCAACCUCAUCAACCACACGCACACCUCUUGGGGUCUGGGUGUUGGGAUGACCCCAAGAUUGUAAAAGUCCUUGUUUCCCAGUCCAUGCCAAAGAAGGAGUCUGAAUGCAUAGGACUGGCUUCUCAAGGUUGUUUCUUUUUCCUUAUCUAUAACAUUCUUUCUCUGACCUGCUGAGUUCUGU